GACGAACGCUGGCGGCGUGCCUAAUACAUGCAAGUCGAACGCACUCUCGUUUAGAUUGAAGGAGCUUGCUCCUGAUUGAUAAACAUUUGAGUGAGUGGCGGACGGGUGAGUAACACGUGGGUAACCUGCCCUAAAGUGGGGGAUAACAUUUGGAAACAGAUGCUAAUACCGCAUAAAACCUAACACCGCAUGGUGUAGGGUUGAAAGAUGGUUUCGGCUAUCACUUUAGGAUGGACCCGCGGUGCAUUAGUUAGUUGGUGAGGUAAAGGCUCACCAAGACCGUGAUGCAUAGCCGACCUGAGAGGGUAAUCGGCCACACUGGGACUGAGACACGGCCCAGACUCCUACGGGAGGCAGCAGUAGGGAAUCUUCCACAAUGGACGAAAGUCUGAUGGAGCAACGCCGCGUGAGUGAAGAAGGUUUCGGAUCGUAAAACUCUGUUAGUUGGAGAAGAAUGUAUCUGAUAGUAACUGAUCAGGUAGU
rnacentral:rRNA from 1 species